AGGUCACAGGCCCCGUCCCGCCGCCCGCCCCGGACCUGCUCUCCGUUUGGCCGCCUCCUGGUGCUGCGGACCGCCGUGCUUGUGUUCGUGUCGGAGCGGCGGCUUGGGCUGGGCUCGGCCGUCGGGCGGCGGCAGCCUCUGAUAAUCCCCACCAGAACACGUUCAGUGGGGCGAUCGGCAGCUCCUGCCUCUGCCCCGAGCAUACUCGCCGCCGGAGCAAAGGGCCAGCGAGACCCUCCCCGCCGCUUGCCUCUCGGGCCCGUGGCUCCGUUCCCUCCUCAACACAGAGGCAGACACCACCAGACCCAAGGAUUCUCCACGGACACCCCGGCAGUACUGAGACAAGGGGGUCGAUCUGAGCACAGAGCAGCGAGGGACGGAGGCAGGAGUUCAUCGGGAGGGUAGGGGAAGGGCAGAGAGAGGGAUGGGGAGAGCCGAGGUUGGCUGGAGGUGGAGGCAGAGUCCUGCUCCGAGUUAUUUGCUAUUCCGGUGUGAUUAAUUGCCUCCAAAUGCUCACAGUGUGCGCCACAGCAAACAGGGAGGGAGGGUGACGAGAAAAUGUGAUCAGGUAGUUAAAGACUUAUAGCUGAUGUGCACGAAAACAAUAAAGAGCUAUUUCCUCACUUCUCAGGGCUUCCACUCGCAGCUUUAAUGCCCUGCUAUUUUUUAAGUAUUUUAAUGAAGUAAACAAAAUUAAUAAAGUUCCCGUGUCCAGACAGCCCUAUCAGGCCUUGGCUGUGUUUCUGCUGGGCACUGUACAAAAGACAGAGCCCUUGCCCGGAGAUUUUACAGUUCCCAAGUUUUGUUUCAACAGACCAUAGUUGAAAGUUUAUGCCUCAAGCACAGCUUCCCACUCCACCCUCCUCUUUAAUACAUAGGAGGUAAAACUUUUCCUAGCAGAAAUACCAACUUCUGCGUUAACAUAGAGGACUUUUUCCAAGAUUUGAGGCGCCUGAAAUAUCGUGAGUUCUGUGCCAAAGCGGCCCCGCAGUUUCCGUUUCUUUCAGCACAAUGCAAAGCAAUUUAAAAUGCAGUGAAACCAUUUAAGCAAGCAAGCGUGAACUUUGGGCUUUACCCAUGCUCUCAGGAAUAACGGUCCUUUCAAACGCUGACUCAUAGAGUGACCUCACAUUGCUUAGGAGACAAGUCUUGAAACGAGGAGUCAGGCUUUAAUCACAGUUGACAUUUUAUUGGUGGCUUGGAAGAAUUUAUUUUUAAUAUAAAGAGUUGGCUUGAAGACAUAAACUUCAAAAGACUCUGAAGAAAGUAAACAACGAUGGACAAAGCAGCUCUGCGCACACAUAUACCAGAAAUCUGAAUACAGAGCGUGGCGGGUUGUCUCUUCGUGAAAAAUAAAGCAACUAUUUUGCUGCUUAGAA